CUGAACUCCAGAAAGGCAGCUUGAGGUGUUGGAUGCUGCUUUAAGGGCUCUCUGAGCUGACUGGAACAAGUCAGCCUUGCUCUGGAUAGUCAUAGGUCUCAAAAUGCCUGAACUACAUAUAAUACAGGUCUCUCAUUGCUGUGGGUGGGAGGCAGCUGGCACAGACUCCUGGAUCUGAAGGAAGCAGAGCUGCCUUUGGCCUUUUCCCUCUUGCUCCAUGCUCACAGCCUCAGUGGAGAUCCCAGAAUUGUGAAGGCUGUGUCCAGGAGCCUUGCUGAACUGCAAGACACACGUGGCGUCCACUGAGAGCAGAACUUCAAAAGGUUCAGUGCAUAAACAUUAAUGUAUUUUAAUUAACAUGAUGACAUUAAUAGCUUCAAGGAUUUGAUUGAAGUGACUUGAUUGUUGAGGAUAAUAGCAAACUUUGCUAUUCUGCUUCACAGAACUGAAAUUUAAACAUCUUGUUGAGCUCACAGUUAGACUGCUGUGCUUCAAGAGAAAAUAAAGUAAAAGAAAGUAGAGAGAGUAACAAAGCUCUGAAGUACUCUCCUGGCUUUGGACCACAUCUUAGCCUGUAAUUUGUGGACACAGGAGCCUGCAAAAGAGGAAAAAUCAUAGAGCAGAUAUCUACAGAAGCAUGGCUGGCAUUUCUGGCAUGAACAGAACAGCAGCCCCCCUGAAGUCUUUAUCUUUGUUGUCUCCCGCUACCUUCAGCAUUCUGAUUGAGCCAGUUUAUGCAUCCUGAAGGCAGAAAUCCCUGAUGGAAACAUUUCACUUCAGCUCAUUCAUAACAGAAGAUGAAACCCUGGAGUUUUUUGAACACAGUGGGAAAGCCUCCUUUGGUUUUAUAAAAAGCAGUGAGACCUCCUCAGCUGAAGAGAGGAAAAAUUCCUGUCUUUCUACCCAGAGAGUCCUGAUUGUGGAUUCCACCUGGGCAUAUUCUACUGCAGUUGAUUCAUAUUUAUUCCCUCAGGUGUGCAAAUUAUCACUCUUGAUUGAAGAUUCUCAGGUAAAAAAAGGAGCAGCCACCCAUUUCCCUAAGCAGAACUGCUUGGAAGCAUCCAAUCUACCUGGCUUUCAGAAAUUCCUUUUAGAGGGGUACGUCCCUUUUUUCAUAUUUCAGAGGGCAUCUGGUGUUUGCUGAUGAUUCACAGAGGAGUGGGGAAGAAGGGUGAGGAGGGAAGGAGGAAAAACUUGAUCAUAGUUUGGAGGCAAAUCAUCAAUCCAUGCUGCAUCUGAAACAAAUCCUGGGAGUUACUUGCUGCUCAAAGUAUUACUGAGCAGAUCACAUUGAUACUUGGGAUAUUUGUAAC